AUCAUGGCUCAGAACGAACGCUGGCGGCAUGCCUAACACAUGCAAGUCGAACGAAGCCUUCGGGCUUAGUGGCGCACGGGUGCGUAACGCGUGGGAAUCUGCCCUUGGGUUCGGAAUAACAGUUAGAAAUGACUGCUAAUACCGAAUGAUGUCUUCGGACCAAAGAUUUAUCGCCCAAGGAUGAGCCCGCGUCGAAUUAGCUAGUUGGUGAGGUAAAGGCUCACCAAGGCGACGAUCCGUAGCUGGUCUGAGAGGAUGAUCAGCCACACUGGGACUGAGACACGGCCCAGACUCCUACGGGAGGCAGCAGUGGGGAAUAUUGGACAAUGGGCGAAAGCCUGAUCCAGCAAUGCCGCGUGAGUGAUGAAGGCCUUAGGGUUGUAAAGCUCUUUUACCCGGGAUGAUAAUGACAGUACAGGGAGAAUAAGCCCCGGCUAACUCCGUG
rnacentral:rRNA from 1 species